rnacentral:rRNA from 1 species
GAUGAACGCUAGCUACAGGCUUAACACAUGCAAGUCGAGGGGCAGCAUGGUCUUAGCUUGCUAAGGCCGAUGGCGACCGGCGCACGGGUGAGUAACACGUAUCCAACCUGCCGUCUACUCUUGGACAGCCUUCUGAAAGGAAGAUUAAUACAAGAUGGCAUCAUGAGUCCGCAUGUUCACAUGAUUAAAGGUAUUCCGGUAGACGAUGGGGAUGCGUUCCAUUAGAUAGUAGGCGGGGUAACGGCCCACCUAGUCUUCGAUGGAUAGGGGUUCUGAGAGGAAGGUCCCCCACAUUGGAACUGAGACACGGUCCAAACUCCUACGGGAGGCAGCAGUGAGGAAUAUUGGUCAAUGGGCGAGAGCCUGAACCAGCCAAGUAGCGUGAAGGAUGACUGCCCUAUGGGUUGUAAACUUCUUUUAUAAAGGAAUAAAGUCGGGUAUGGAUACCCGUUUGCAUGUACUUUAUGAAUAAGGAUCGGCUAACUCCGUGCCAGCAGCCGCGGUAAUACGGAGGAUCCGAGCGUUAUCCGGAUUUAUUGGGUUUAAAGGGAGCGUAGAUGGAUGUUUAAGUCAGUUGUGAAAGUUUGCGGCUCAACCGUAAAAUUGCAGUUGAUACUGGAUAUCUUGAGUGCAGUUGAGGCAGGCGGAAUUCGUGGUGUAGCGGUGAAAUGCUUAGAUAUCACGAAGAACUCCGAUUGCG